rnacentral:rRNA from 1 species
CCGAAUUCGUCGACAACAGAGUUUGAUCCUGGCUCAGCCGAAUUCGUCGACAACAGAGUUUGAUCCUGGCUCAGGAUGAACGCUGGCGGCGUGCUUAACACAUGCAAGUCGAACGAUGAAGCCCAGCUUGCUGGGUGGAUUAGUGGCGAACGGGUGAGUAACACGUGAGCAACCUGCCCCUGACUCUGGGAUAAGCGCUGGAAACGGCGUCUAAUACUGGAUAUGUCCCGUCACCGCAUGGUGUGCGGGUGGAAAGAUUUUUCGGUUGGGGAUGGGCUCGCGGCCUAUCAGCUUGUUGGUGAGGUAAUGGCUCACCAAGGCGUCGACGGGUAGCCGGCCUGAGAGGGUGACCGGCCACACUGGGACUGAGACACGGCCCAGACUCCUACGGGAGGCAGCAGUGGGGAAUAUUGCACAAUGGGCGGAAGCCUGAUGCAGCAACGCCGCGUGAGGGAUGACGGCCUUCGGGUUGUAAACCUCUUUUAGCAGGGAAGAAGCGAGAGUGACGGUACCUGCAGAAAAAGCACCGGCUAACUACGUGCCAGCAGCCGCGGUAAUACGUAGGGUGCAAGCGUUAUCCGGAAUUAUUGGGCGUAAAGAGCUCGUAGGCGGUCUGUCGCGUCUGCUGUGAAAUCCCGAGGCUCAACCUCGGGCUUGCAGUGGGUACGGGCAGACU